AGGGUGCAAGCGUUAAUCGGAAUUACUGGGCGUAAAGCGUGCGUAGGCGGCUGCCUAAGUUGGAUGUGAAAGCCCCGGGCUUAACCUGGGAACUGCAUCCAAAACUGGGCAGCUAGAGUGCGGAAGAGGAGUGUGGAAUUUCCUGUGUAGCGGUGAAAUGCGUAGAUAUAGGAAGGAACACCAGUGGCGAAGGCGACACUCUGGUCUGACACUGACGCUGAGGUACGAAAGCGUGGGGAGCAAACAGGAUUAGAUACCCUGGUAGUCCACGCCGUAAACGAUGAUCAUUAGCUGGUGGGAAACUCACUGGCACAGCUAACGCGUUAAAUGAUCCGCCUGAGUAGUAUGCUCGCAAGAGUGAAACUUAAAGGAAUUGACGGGGACCCGCACAAGCGGUGGAGCAUGUGGUUUAAUUUGAAAAUACGCGGAGAACCUUACCCUCUUUUGACAUCUUCCGCAAAGGCUUGGAGACAAGCUGGAGGUUAACGGAAUGACAGAUGGUGCAUGGUUGUCGUCAGCUCGUGUCGUGAGAUGUACGGUUAAGUCCCAUAACGAGCGCAACCCUUAUCCUUUGUUGCUAACAUUUAGUUGAGGACUCUUAGGAGACUGCCCGGGCAACCGGGAGGAAGGUUGGGAUGACGUCAAAUCAUCAUGCCUCUUACAGGAGGGGCUACACACGUGCUACAAUGGUUGAUACAAUGUGAUGCUAAGCCGCGAGGCCAAGCCAACCACUAAAAAUCAAUCUCAGUUCGGAUUGGAGUCUGCAACUCGACUCCAUGAAGUCGGAAUCGCUAGUAAUCGUAGGUCAGCUACACUACGGUGAAUACGUUCUCGGGUCUUGUACACACCGCCCGUCACACCAUGGGAGAUGGUAACACCCAAAGUCGUAUAGCUAACUUCGGAAGCGUACGCCUAAGGUGGGAUUGUUGACUGGGGUGAAGUUGUAACAAGGUAUCCCUACGAGAACGUGGGGAUG
rnacentral:rRNA from 1 species